rnacentral:rRNA from 1 species
AUUGAACGCUGGCGGCAUGCUUUACACAUGCAAGUCGAACGGUAACAGGCCGCAAGGUGCUGACGAGUGGCGAACGGGUGAGUAAUGCAUCGGAACGUGCCCAGUCGUGGGGGAUAACUACUCGAAAGAGUAGCUAAUACCGCAUACGAUCUAUGGAUGAAAGCGGGGGACCGUAAGGCCUCGCGCGAUUGGAGCGGCCGAUGUCAGAUUAGGUAGUUGGUGGGGUAAAGGCUCACCAAGCCAACGAUCUGUAGCUGGUCUGAGAGGACGACCAGCCACACUGGGACUGAGACACGGCCCAGACUCCUACGGGAGGCAGCAGUGGGGAAUUUUGGACAAUGGGCGCAAGCCUGACCCAGCAAUGCCGCGUGCAGGAAGAAGGCCUUCGGGUUGUAAACUGCUUUUGUACGGAACGAAACGGCUCUGGUUAAUACCCGGGGCUAAUGACGGUACCGUAAGAAUAAGCACCGGCUAACUACGUG